rnacentral:tRNA from 1 species
GAUUAUAUAGUUUAAUUAGAAUUUUAAAUUGCAAAUUUAAAGGUAAUUUAUUUAUUUAUAAUCU